GAUGAACGCUGGCGGCGUGCCUAAUACAUGCAAGUCGAGCGAACAGACGAGGAGCUUGCUCCUCUGACGUUAGCGGCGGACGGGUGAGUAACACGUGGAUAACCUACCUAUAAGACUGGGAUAACUUCGGGAAACCGGAGCUAAUACCGGAUAAUAUAUUGAACCGCAUGGUUCAAUAGUGAAAGACGGUUUUGCUGUCACUUAUAGAUGGAUCCGCGCCGCAUUAGCUAGUUGGUAAGGUAACGGCUUACCAAGGCAACGAUGCGUAGCCGACCUGAGAGGGUGAUCGGCCACACUGGAACUGACACACGGUCCAGACUCCUGCGGGAGGCAGCAGUAGGGAAUCUUCCGCAAUGGGCGAAAGCCUGACGGAGCAACGCCGCGCGAGUGAUGAAGGUCUUCGGAUCGUAAAACUCGGUUAUUAGGGAAGAACAAAUGUGUAAGUAACUAUGCACGGCUUGACGGUACCUAAUCAGAAAGCCACGGCUAACUACGUG
rnacentral:rRNA from 1 species